GUGACUGCGUACCUUUUGUAUAAUGGGUCAGCGACUUAUAUUCUGUAGCAAGGUUAACCGAAUAGGGGAGCCGCAGGGAAACCGAGUCUUAAUUGGGCGUUAAGUUGCAGGGUAUAGACCCGAAACCCGGUGAUCUAGCCAUGGGCAGGUUGAAGGUUGGGUAACACUAACUGGAGGACCGAACCGACUAAUGUUGAAAAAUUAGCGGAUGACCUGUGGCUGGGGGUGAAAGGCCAAUCAAACCGGGAGAUAGCUGGUUCUCCCCGAAAGCUAUUUAGGUAGCGCCUCGUGAAUUCAUCUCCGGGGGUAGAGCACUGUUUCGGCUAGGGGGCCAUCCCGGCUUACCAACCCGAUGCAAACUGCGAAUACCGGAGAAUGUUAUCACGGGAGACACACGGCGGGUGCUAACGUCCGUCGUGAAGAGGGAAACAACCCAGACCGCCAGCUAAGGUCCCAAAGUCAUGGUUAAGUGGGAAACGAUGUGGGAAGGCCCAGACAGCCAGGAUGUUGGCUUAGAAGCAGCCAUCAUUUAAAGAAAGCGUAAUAGCUCACUGGUCGAGUCGGCCUGCGCGGAAGAUGUAACGGGGCUAAACCAUGCACCGAAGCUGCGGCAGCGACGCUGAUGCGUUGUUGGGUAGGGGAGCGUUCUGUAAGCCUGUGAAGGUGUGUCGUGAGGCAUGCUGGAGGUAUCAGAAGUGCGAAUGCUGACAUAAGUAACGAUAAAGCGGGUGAAAAGCCCGCUCGCCGGAAGACCAAGGGUUCCUGUCCAACGUUAAUCGGGGCAGGGUGAGUCGACCCCUAAGGCGAGGCCGAAAGGCGUAGUCGAUGGGAAACGGGUUAAUAUUCCCGUACUUGGUGUUACUGCGAAGGGGGGACGGAGAAGGCUAUGUUGGCCGGGCGACGGUUGUCCCGGUUUAAGCGUGUAGGUGUGUGUUCCAGGUAAAUCCGGUUCACUUUAACACUGAGGCGUGAUGACGAGGCACUACGGUGCUGAAGCAACAAAUGCCCUGCUUCCAGGAAAAGCCUCUAAGCAUCAGGUAACAUCAAAUCGUACCCCAAACCGACACAGGUGGUCAGGUAGAGAAUACCAAGGCGCUUGAGAGAACUCGGGUGAAGGAACUAGGCAAAAUGGUGCCGUAACUUCGGGAGAAGGCACGCUGACACGUAGGUGAAGUGAUUUACUCAUGGAGCUGAAGUCAGUCGAAGAUACCAGCUGGCUGCAACUGUUUAUUAAAAACACAGCACUGUGCAAACACGAAAGUGGACGUAUACGGUGUGACGCCUGCCCGGUGCCGGAAGGUUAAUUGAUGGGGUCAGCGCAAGCGAAGCUCCUGAUCGAAGCCCCGGUAAACGGCGGCCGUAACUAUAACGGUCCUAAGGUAGCGAAAUUCCUUGUCGGGUAAGUUCCGACCUGCACGAAUGGCGUAAUGAUGGCCAGGCUGUCUCCACCCGAGACUCAGUGAAAUUGAACUCGCUGUGAAGAUGCAGUGUACCCGCGGCAAGACGGAAAGACCCCGUGAACCUUUACUAUAGCUUGACACUGAACAUUGAGCCUUGAUGUGUAGGAUAGGUGGGAGGCUUUGAAGUGUGGACGCCAGUCUGCAUGGAGCCGACCUUGAAAUACCACCCUUUAAUGUUUGAUGUUCUAACGUGGACCCGUAAUCCGGGUUGCGGACAGUGUCUGGUGGGUAGUUUGACUGGGGCGGUCUCCUCCUAAAGAGUAACGGAGGAGCACGAAGGUUGGCUAAUCCUGGUCGGACAUCAGGAGGUUAGUGCAAUGGCAUAAGCCAGCUUGACUGCGAGCGUGACGGCGCGAGCAGGUGCGAAAGCAGGUCAUAGUGAUCCGGUGGUUCUGAAUGGAAGGGCCAUCGCUCAACGGAUAAAAGGUACUCCGGGGAUAACAGGCUGAUACCGCCCAAGAGUUCAUAUCGACGGCGGUGUUUGGCACCUCGAUGUCGGCUCAUCACAUCCUGGGGCUGAAGUAGGUCCCAAGGGUAUGGCUGUUCGCCAUUUAAAGUGGUACGCGAGCUGGGUUUAGAACGUCGUGAGACAGUUCGGUCCCUAUCUGCCGUGGGCGCUGGAGAACUGAGGGGGGCUGCUCCUAGUACGAGAGGACCGGAGUGGACGCAUCACUGGUGUUCGGGUUGUCAUGCCAAUGGCACUGCCCGGUAGCUAAAUGCGGAAGAGAUAAGUGCUGAAAGCAUCUAAGCACGAAACUUGCCCCGAGAUGAGUUCUCCCUGAGACUUUAAGUCUCCUGAAGGAACGUUGAAGACGACGACGUUGAUAGGCCGGGUGUGUAAGCGCAGCGAUGCGUUGAGCUAACCGGUACUAAUGAACCGUGAGGCUUAACCUUACAACGCCGAAG
rnacentral:rRNA from 1 species